AUUGAACGCUGGCGGCAGGCCUAACACAUGCAAGUCGAGCGGAUGAACGGAGCUUGCUCCUGGAUUCAGCUGCGGACGGGCGAGUAAUGCCGAGGAAUCUGCCUGGCAGUUUGUGAUAGCGUCCGGAAACGGGCGCUAAUACCGUAUUCGUGCAUAGGGAGAACGGGUGGGAUCAUGGGACCUCACGCUAUCAGGUGAGCCUAGGUCGGAUUAGCUAGUUGGUGGGGUAAAGGCCUACCAAGGCGACGAUCCGUAACUGGUCUGAGAGGAUGAUCAGCCACACUGGAACUGAGACACAGUCCAGACUCCUACGGGAGGCAGCAGUGGGGAAUAUUGGACAAUGGGCGAAAGCCUGAUCCAGCCAUGCCGCGUGUGUGAAGAAGGUCUUCGGAUUGUAAAGCACUUUUAGUUGGGAAGAAGAGCAGUAAGUUAAUACCUUGCUGUUUUGACGGUACCAAAAGAAUAAGCACCGGCUAACUUCGUG
rnacentral:rRNA from 1 species